GGGUUGUGAGGUUAAGCGACUAAGCGUACACGGUGGAUGCCCUGGCAGUCAGAGGCGAUGAAGGGCGUGCUAAUCUGCGAUAAGCGCCGGUAAGGUGAUAUGAACCGUUAUAACCGGCGAUACCCGAAUGGGGAAACCCAGUGUGACUCGUCACACUAUCAUUAACUGAAUCCAUAGGUUAAUGAGGCGAACCGGGGGAACUGAAACAUCUAAGUACCCCGAGGAAAAGAAAUCAACCGAGAUUCCCCCAGUAGCGGCGAGCGAACGGGGAGGAGCCCAGAGCCUGAAUCAGCAUGUGUGUUAGUGGAAGCGUCUGGAAAGGCGCGCGAUACAGGGUGACAGCCCCGUACACAAAAGCGCAUGUGCUGUGAGCUCGAUGAGUAGGGCGGGACACGUGGUAUCCUGUCUGAAUAUGGGGGGACCAUCCUCCAAGGCUAAAUACUCCUGACUGACCGAUAGUGAACCAGUACCGUGAGGGAAAGGCGAAAAGAACCCCGGCGAGGGGAGUGAAAAAGAACCUGAAACCGUGUACGUACAAGCAGUGGGAGCACAGGUUUACCUGUGUGACUGCGUACCUUUUGUAUAAUGGGUCAGCGACUUAUAUUCUGUAGCAAGGUUAACCGUAUAGGGGAGCCGGAGGGAAACCGAGUCUUAACCGGGCGUUAAGUUGCAGGGUAUAGACCCGAAACCCGGUGAUCUAGCCAUGGGCAGGUUGAAGGUUGGGUAACACUAACUGGAGGACCGAACCGACUAAUGUUGAAAAAUUAGCGGAUGACCUGUGGCUGGGGGUGAAAGGCCAAUCAAACCGGGAGAUAGCUGGUUCUCCCCGAAAGCUAUUUAGGUAGCGCCUCGUGAAUUCAUCUCCGGGGGUAGAGCACUGUUUCGGCUAGGGGGCCAUCCCGGCUUACCAACCCGAUGCAAACUGCGAAUACCGGAGAAUGUUAUCACGGGAGACACACGGCGGGUGCUAACGUCCGUCGUGAAGAGGGAAACAACCCAGACCGCCAGCUAAGGUCCCAAAGUCAUGGUUAAGUGGGAAACGAUGUGGGAAGGCCCAGACAGCCAGGAUGUUGGCUUAGAAGCAGCCAUCAUUUAAAGAAAGCGUAAUAGCUCACUGGUCGAGUCGGCCUGCGCGGAAGAUGUAACGGGGCUAAACCAUGCACCGAAGCUGCGGCAGCGAACGUAUCACUUAAAGCGAUUCAGCGGAUGACGAUUGACGGAGCGAAGCGACGUCAAAGCGUAUACAAAGUCGAGUCGGUUUAAGGAUACGUUCGUUGGGUAGGGGAGCGUUCUGUAAGCCUGCGAAGGUGGCCUGUGAGGGUUGCUGGAGGUAUCAGAAGUGCGAAUGCUGACAUAAGUAACGAUAAAGCGGGUGAAAAGCCCGCUCGCCGGAAGACCAAGGGUUCCUGUCCAACGUUAAUCGGGGCAGGGUGAGUCGACCCCUAAGGCGAGGCCGAAAGGCGUAGUCGAUGGGAAACGGGUUAAUAUUCCCGUACUUGGUGUUACUGCGAAGGGGGGACGGAGAAGGCUAUGUUGGCCGGGCGACGGUUGUCCCGGUUUAAGCGUGUAGGUGUGUGUUCCAGGUAAAUCCGGUUCACUUUAACACUGAGGCGUGACGACGAGGCACUACGGUGCUGAAGCAACAAAUGCCCUGCUUCCAGGAAAAGCCUCUAAGCAUCAGGUAACAUCAAAUCGUACCCCAAACCGACACAGGUGGUCAGGUAGAGAAUACCAAGGCGCUUGAGAGAACUCGGGUGAAGGAACUAGGCAAAAUGGUGCCGUAACUUCGGGAGAAGGCACGCUGACAUGUAGGUGAAGUGAUUUACUCAUGGAGCUGAAGUCAGUCGAAGAUACCAGCUGGCUGCAACUGUUUAUUAAAAACACAGCACUGUGCAAACACGAAAGUGGACGUAUACGGUGUGACGCCUGCCCGGUGCCGGAAGGUUAAUUGAUGGGGUCAGCGCAAGCGAAGCUCCUGAUCGAAGCCCCGGUAAACGGCGGCCGUAACUAUAACGGUCCUAAGGUAGCGAAAUUCCUUGUCGGGUAAGUUCCGACCUGCACGAAUGGCGUAAUGAUGGCCAGGCUGUCUCCACCCGAGACUCAGUGAAAUUGAACUCGCUGUGAAGAUGCAGUGUACCCGCGGCAAGACGGAAAGACCCCGUGAACCUUUACUAUAGCUUGACACUGAACAUUGAGCCUUGAUGUGUAGGAUAGGUGGGAGGCUUUGAAGUGUGGACGCCAGUCUGCAUGGAGCCGACCUUGAAAUACCACCCUUUAAUGUUUGAUGUUCUAACGUGGACCCGUUACCCGGGUUGCGGACAGUGUCUGGUGGGUAGUUUGACUGGGGCGGUCUCCUCCUAAAGAGUAACGGAGGAGCACGAAGGUUGGCUAAUCCUGGUCGGACAUCAGGAGGUUAGUGCAAUGGCAUAAGCCAGCUUGACUGCGAGCGUGACGGCGCGAGCAGGUGCGAAAGCAGGUCAUAGUGAUCCGGUGGUUCUGAAUGGAAGGGCCAUCGCUCAACGGAUAAAAGGUACUCCGGGGAUAACAGGCUGAUACCGCCCAAGAGUUCAUAUCGACGGCGGUGUUUGGCACCUCGAUGUCGGCUCAUCACAUCCUGGGGCUGAAGUAGGUCCCAAGGGUAUGGCUGUUCGCCAUUUAAAGUGGUACGCGAGCUGGGUUUAGAACGUCGUGAGACAGUUCGGUCCCUAUCUGCCGUGGGCGCUGGAGAACUGAGGGGGGCUGCUCCUAGUACGAGAGGACCGGAGUGGACGCAUCACUGGUGUUCGGGUUGUCAUGCCAAUGGCACUGCCCGGUAGCUAAAUGCGGAAGAGAUAAGUGCUGAAAGCAUCUAAGCACGAAACUUGCCCCGAGAUGAGUUCUCCCUGAGACUUAGAGUCUCCUGAAGGAACGUUGAAGACGACGACGUUGAUAGGCCGGGUGUGUAAGCGCAGCGAUGCGUUGAGCUAACCGGUACUAAUGAACCGUGAGGCUUAACCUUACAACGCCGAAG
rnacentral:rRNA from 1 species